CCAGACUCCUACGGGAGGCAGCAGUGAGGAAUAUUGGUCAAUGGGCGAGAGCCUGAACCAGCCAAGUCGCGUGAGGGAAGACGGUCCUAUGGAUUGUAAACCUCUUUUGUCGGGGAGCAAAAAGGCCUCGUGAGGCCACAAGUGAGAGUACCCGAAGAAAAAGCAUCGGCUAACUCCGUGCCAGCAGCCGCGGUAAUACGGAGGAUGCGAGCGUUAUUCGGAUUUAUUGGGUUUAAAGGGUGCGUAGGUGGUUAAUUAAGUCAGCGGUGAAAGUUUGUGGCUCAACCAUAAAAUUGCCGUUGAAACUGGUUGACUUGAGUAUAUUUGAGGUAGGCGGAAUGCGUGGUGUAGCGGUGAAAUGCAUAGAUAUCACGCAGAACUCCGAUUGCGAAGGCAGCUUACUAAACUAUAACUGACACUGAAGCACGAAAGCGUGGGGAUCAAACAGGAUUAGAUACCCUCGUAG
rnacentral:rRNA from 1 species